UUAAAGCAAUGGAAACACUGAUGAGGGCUAAGGAGGAUUUCAGCAUCGAUCUUGGACUUUUAAAAGCAUCGUUUUGGCAGGCUCUCAGUUCGGCUGCCAGACCUCUUCUGUGGCUUUGUUUGGGGUAUCAUUAAGAACCUUAGCCCUCACUCAGUCUUCCUGUCUCUCAGAAUUGCACAAGCUUAUUUCUUCGGAUUAAACCCCUUUACGCAGAAGGUUCCAGAAGCUUCUAGAAAAGCUCCAACAGCACAGACACUUUCAAUGGUGCUGAGAAGAGAGGACAUAGAAACAUGGCUGCCUGAAGCUAGAGGACGGGGACAGGAAGCGAGAGGCACAUUGACGAGAACGUAUUUAAUUGUAAAAGUGCAAACUUUAAAAUGGUUCAGAUGGAAAUUUUUAUAAUAGCUGCAUUUUGUCACGAUCUUUUUGUUUUUAAAAAAAAAAAUGAUUCUGAAAACAAAACUCCCCUCAUCUCAGUCAAGGGUCAGCCUUGCUGUGGAUUCGCUGGCAAUUAUCUUUUGCUAUAAGCUUUUUGUCUGAGCCUGAACAAUUUCUAACCUCAGCCUGACUCUUUCCCGCCUGUCGUUCAUCACCCCUGCCUCGUGUGACCUCAUUCUAAUAGCAGGGACUCUAUUAGAACAAGCUCUAAUGAGUGUUAAUCUAGGAAGCAGAUUAACUCCACCAGAGCCAAGCCCAUUUAGUUCCUUCUAAAGCCACAUGUGAAGAAUAUGAGACCUCAUCUCUGCCCCCCACCUCUGCUGAGGACAGACAACUAGCAGCUGACGGAGCUGAGCUGCAACUUCCCAAAUAAACAAGCUAAGUGGGGAUCGCGAGCAUCUCACAGUUAAUCUGCCGGCUUUGGUGAACUCUUACCAGGAGCUGGGCUAGCAGGAAACAAUCAACAAAUAACAAGAUUUCAAUACGGAAAACUCAAGCCCCGAAGCUCUGUUAAAGAGACCUAGCAACUCGAAGCUUUGUCCUCCCAAAUAUUUUGCGAGUACUUGUGAAAAUAAUAUUCUUACCCACAAAGUGACGGAUCCUGUUCUUUUUCCAAAUUUGCUGCUUAAAAUGCACAAAACUUCGAAACUCAUUUUAAAGGAAUUGACUUAUGGAAAUGGAAAAUAGCCCCAAAAGGAAUGAACAGGAGAAAAGGGAGGGGGGUUGACAAAACGUAAGAAAGAUGAAUUUGAGUUUUAAAAGACAGAAAAAAAGGAGCAGGGACGGUCCUGGAACAGCCUGCAGGAGCACAUUUCUUCUUCUGAGGGCAAUGCCAAAGGCAUUUUAAAGUGCAGAGUCUUAAAUUUCUCUGAAGCCCAUGGACAUGCGAACGUGUGGAGCUGCCUUUUGCCUGUGGACCCAGACAUGCGUGGGCCUGCCCUUUGCCUGUAUGCACAUGCAUGUGAGGGGCUGUGAGGAGGCCCUGUCAAGCCAGCUCCUUUGCACACACACCGCCCCGCCCCCAACCCCACCACCACCCCAUCCCAUCCCCACCCGCUCGGGGCAUGAAGUCAGCUUCUUUGUGAGGGGCCCAGUCAAGCAGCUCCUCUGCUCUCGCUCACAUUAACAUUCAGGGCAACGGCAAGAAAAUGAGAAGCUAUUAAUAAAAAACAGAUUUGAAAUAAAUCACCAUCACGUGAGCACAUGCUGGCUGCUGGGCUCUGAGGGAAGUUGAACUUCAUGGGACUAGCAGCCUGAAGAAAAUGAAGUCUGUUCUCUUUCCGAGCAUCCUCCGCUGGAGCCAACUGGCUCCUGGAUACCAGUUGUGCUGUAUUUCCCAUGCUGGCAUCCAGAUGGGAUCCGGCCUGCUUCCCGGCCUCUCAUUUGAAAAUACACACAAAGGGGAAAAGGGGAUUCACUCUUUUAAGAUGACCAGUAUCUCUGGAAGACGUUGCUUAAGGUGCAGGGAUACCCUUUAUGAACUUGUUAGAAAUCAGUUCAGGGUGAGGCGGUGCUGGGGAAAGGGUUCGUUUUGCUAGUCCUCGCUGCUCUUGCUGAAGCUCAGAGUUAGGAUCCCAGCAUCCACCUCGGGUACUUCACGACUGCCUGUAACCUCAGCUCUGGGAGAUUUG
rnacentral:sRNA from 1 species